rnacentral:rRNA from 1 species
GAUGAACGCUAGCGAUAGGCUUAACACAUGCCAGUCGAGGGGCAGCGCGGGUAGCAAUACCUGUCGGCGACCGGCGCACGGGUGAGUAACGCGUAUGUAACCUGCCCGCAACAGGGGGAUAACCCGGCGAAAGUCGGACUAAUACCGCAUAAAACAGGGGUCCCGCAUGGGAAUAUUUGUUAAAGAUUUAUCGGUUGCGGAUGGGCAUGCGUACCAUUAGGUAGUUGGUGAGGUAACGGCUCACCAAGCCUUCGAUGGUUAGGGGUUCUGAGAGGAAGGUGCCCCACAGUGGUACUGAGACACGGACCAGACUCCUACGGGAGGCAGCAGUGAGGAAUAUUGGUCAAUGGGCGAGAGCCUGAACCAGCCAAGUCGCGUGAAGGAGGACUGCCCUAUGGGUUGUAAACUUCUUUUACAAGGGAAUAAAAUGAGAUACGUGUAUUUUAUUGCAUGUACCUUGGGAAUAAGCAUCGGCUAACUCCGUG